rnacentral:rRNA from 1 species
AGAACGAACGCUGGCGGCGUGGAUAAGACAUGCAAGUCGAACGCGACUUAUCGAGUUAGCAAUAACUUGGUGAGUUGAGUGGCGAAAGGGUGCGUAACACGUGGGAAUUUACCAAGAAGUGGGGGAUAGCUCGGCGAAAGCCGAAUUAAUACCGCAUAUGAUCGCAAGAUCAAAGCCGGGGACCGCAAGGCCUGGCGCUUUUUGAGAAGCCCGCGGCCCAUCAGCUAGUUGGCGAGGUAAAGGCUCACCAAGGCUAUGACGGGUAGCUGGUCUGAGAGGACGACCAGCCACACUGGAACUGAGACACGGUCCAGACACCUACGGGUGGCAGCAGUCGAGUAAUUUUUCAC